rnacentral:misc_RNA from 1 species
AAUAAUUAAAUUAACAUAAUUCAUAAAUUCCAUCUUAUACUAGAUCACUAACCCAUGCAAGAUACAUUUGCACAACUUUUUUGCCACUUCUUUAAAAAACCGUUGAUAAUAAGGUAACCAUAAAACAGCCAUAUGCAUCAAAAAACCAUUAAAUGUAAAUGCAAGAAACAUAGAUUAAAACAGGACUAGCCUAAUAAAGCUCUACCUUAAA